GGUUUUAGUCUCUCAGGUUUGGCCACAAACAGACAGGAUGGACGGACAGACAGACAAAUGUGGUUUUAUCUCUCAGGUUUGGCCACAAACAGACAGGAUGGACGGACAGACAGACAGAUGUGGUUUUAUCUCUCAGGUUUGGCCACAAACAGACAGGAUGGACGGACAGACAGACAAAUGUGGUUUUAUCUCUCAGGUUUGGCCACAAACAGACAGGAUGGAUGUGGUUUCAGAGUGCUAAGUGGUAUUUGGGCCACAAACAGACAGGAUGGACGGACAGACAGGCAGAUGUGGUUUUAGUCUCUCAGGUUUGGCCACAAACAGACAGGAUGGAUGUGGUUUUAGUCUCUCAGGUUUGGCCACAAACAGACAGGAUGGAUGUGGUUUUAGUCUCUCAGGUUUGUGUACUCCGAGCAUGCGCUGACCAACUGUCAAGUGUCUUCACUGAUAUAGUCAACCUCUCGCUGUCGGAGUCUGUAAUACCAACAUGUUUCAAGCAGACCACCAUAGUCCCUGUGCUCAAGAACACUAAAGUAAUCUGCCUAAAUGACUACCGAUUCGUAGCACUCACAUCUGUAGCCAUGAAAUGCUUUGAACGGCUGGUCAUGGCUCACAUCAACACCAUUAUCCAAGAAACCCUAGACACACUCCAAUUUGCAUACCACACCAACAGAGCCACAGAUGAUGUAAUCUCUAUUGCACUCCACACUGCCCUUUCCCACCUGGACAAAAGGAACACCUAUGUGAGAAUGCUACUCAUUGCUUACAGCUCAGCGUUCAACACCAUAGUGCCCUCAAAACUCAUCAAUAAGCUAAGGACCCUGGGACUAAACACCUCCCUCUGCAACUGUAUCCUGGACUUCCUGAUGGGCCGCCCCCAGGUGGUAAGAGUAGGCAACAACACAUCUGCCACGCUGAUCCUCAACACAGGGGCCCCUCAGGGGUGCGUGCUCAGUCCCCUGCUGUACUCAUGACUGCAUGAACAGGCACAAUUCCAACACCAUCAUUAAGUUUGCCGAUGACACAACAGUAGGCCUGAUCACCGACAACGAUAAGACAGCCUAUAGGGAGGAGGUCAGAGAUCUGGCCAUGUGGUGCCAGGACAACAACCUCUCCCUCAAUGUGAUCAAGACAAAGGAGAUGAUUGUGGACUACAGGAAAAGGAGGACCGAGCACACCCCCAUUCUCAUCGACGGGGCUGUAGUGGAACAGGUUGAGAGCUUCAAGUUCCUUGGCAUCCACAUCACCAACAACUAACAUGGUCCAAGCACACCAAGACAGUCGUGAAGAGAGCACAACAAAAACUAUUCCCUCUCAGGAGACUGAAAAGAUUUGGUAUGGGUCCUCAGGUCCUCAAAAGGUUUUACAGCUGCACCAUCGAGAGCAUCCUGACGGGUUGCAUCAUUGCCUGGUAUGGCAACUGCUCGGCCUUUGACCGCAAGGCCUAUAGAGGGUAGUGCAUACGGCCCAGUACAUCACCGGGGCCAAGCUUCCUGCCAUCCAGGACCUCUAUACCAGGUGGUGUCAGACAGAGUAAGGUCCUAAAAAUUGUCAAAGACUCCAGCCACCUUAGUCAUAGACUGUUCUCUCUGCUACCACACGGCAAGCGGUACCGGAGCGCCAAGUCUAGGUCCAAGAGGCUUUUAAACAGCUUCUACUCCCAAGCCAUAAGACUCCUGAACAUCUGGUCAAAUGGUUACCCAGACUAUUUGCACCCCCCUCCACACUGCUGUUACUUUCUGUUAUUAUCUAUGCAUAGCCACUUUAAUAACCCUACCUGCAUGUAUAUAAUUACCUUGACACUGGUGCCCCCUCACAUGGACUCUGUACCAGUACCCUCUGUAUAAAGCCCCGCUAUUGUUAUUUACUGAUGCUCCUGAAUUAUUUGUUGUUCUUAUCUCUUACCCUUUUUUUUUAUAGGUAUUUUCUGAAAACUGCAUGGUUGGUGAA
rnacentral:lncRNA from 13 species